AGUCAGUGGGGACCUGGCAAUGGAAGCCUCAUCAGUGGGUCUUGGAUAGUGAGGCCUAGUCACUGGAGGACUGCACAGACCCAGGCCCAGGGGAUGCCCAAUGCUGGGAGGAGGCUCAGACAGCAGGAAGGAGAGAAGGAAGGAAGGAACUUCCGUAGUACCGAUGCCUACAAAAUUACAACACGUGGUGCUGUUUCUACUCCAUCACCAUGUUCGCUCUUUAUUUCCUAUGUAAUUCUCUAUUCAACCGGCCUCAGUUGAGCACAAAACCAUCCUUGUACCACCAUGAAUAGUUGGCCAUGGCUCUUUGAUAGCAAUUUUUGUUCUGCCGUAGAAAUUAUCCUUGAACCAGAAAAAAAAAUCCCCAAUUCAACACUCCAUUUUUGUGAAGAGCUGGUUCCGAAUUCUGGGUCACUUUUUGGAAAAAAUAUCUGUUGUGGUAAACAGUGCUGCAUCUGUGAUCUCAAGUCUCUACUGGAAUUGGAUAGAGAUGGUGAAUUUCAGCCAGAGCGCCCAAAGAACUCGUGUCCCGCGCUCCUGAACGCCAUCAGCCGCCGCACCUCCAUCUUCCCUCCUCCCACGAGUCUCCUGCUCCCCGUGACUCUGGCCUCCUCGCAGUGUUGCUGGGCCACGUCAGGAAGUGCUGGAGGACGUGGCAUUGCACCAACACCAGGCGGCCAGCCGUGUGGCUCAUCCCGCAAAUCAGGCUCUUCCUGUGCAUGGAGAUGGAGUCCCUCUGGAGGCAGCCCGUGGCCCUGUUCUCGGGCAGGUGGAGCAUGGAGACGACUGGGAACUUCACUAGACACGCAUCCAGCCGGUUCAAGGGCUUGUCGCGCCGUGCACCAGCUUGCAGGAGAAAGCCCAACGCCUCGCCAAGCACGAAGGCCUCCCUUCCCGACUUGAUGAAGGCAGAGUAGCGGUUGAGGUUGCGGCUCACAGUGACCGAGCUCCUGCCCACGUGGGGACCCAGGGAGCCGUCGAGCUCCAGCCCAGGCUUGGACCUGAAGAAGCUGGCAACCCGCGAACGCCAACAGGCACAGUCGAAAAAAGCAAAAGAAAAAUCCCAAACAAAA
rnacentral:lncRNA from 1 species